rnacentral:rRNA from 1 species
UUGAACGCUGGCGGCAGGCCUAACACAUGCAAGUCGAGCGGAUGAAGGGAGCUUGCUCCUGGAUUCAGCGGCGGACGGGUGAGUAAUGCCUAGGAAUCUGCCUGGUAGUGGGGGAUAACGUCCGGAAACGGGCGAUAAUACCGCAUACGUCCUGAGGGAGAAAGUGGGGGAUCUUCGGACCUCACGCUAUCAGAUGAGCCUAGGUCGGAUUAGCUAGUUGGUGGGGUAAAGGCCUACCAAGGCGACGAUCCGUAACUGGUCUGAGAGGAUGAUCAGUCACACUGGAACUGAGACACGGUCCAGACUCCUACGGGAGGCAGCAGUGGGGAAUAUUGGACAAUGGGCGAAAGCCUGAUCCAGCCAUGCCGCGUGUGUGAAGAAGGUCUUCGGAUUGUAAAGCACUUUAAGUUGGGAGGAAGGGCAGUAAGUUAAUACCUUGCUGUUUUGACGUUACCAACAGAAUAAGCACCGGCUAACUUCGUG